GGCCUGGUUACGUGGUUUAGCCGCAAGGUUAACACUGCGUUGGCUGGGUCUUUCCUUCUAGGGAACUAGCGUGCUCUUUACUGGGUGCGUUAGGGAUCUAGGACUGUUACUGUGAAAAAAUUAGAGUGUUCAAAACAGGCGUAUGCUUGAAUAGUACAGCAUGGAAUAACGGAAUAGGACUUUGUUUCUAUUUUGUUGGUUUUUAGAAACGAAGUA
rnacentral:rRNA from 1 species